AUGGAGUUCUCCCGCCGCGGCCGAGCCACCGACGACGGCCAACGCCCUCCGCCGCACGGAGACCCGAUGCUGGUGAUGAGGGACGCGCUGCUGUCGCAGCUCCAGAAGGACCGCCUUCGCCAGGAGAUCAUCGUGGCCGAGCUGGCCAAGAUAGAGCGUGCCAUGGCCCUGCGCGCCGCCACUGGCGGCCAGCAGGCCACGCCGACACCAGCCGGCGAAUGCUUGACGACAUGUGAGGGUAAGGCGGCUCGACAAAAUGCAGCGUCCGAUGAGCAGAGGCUGCCGGACUCCAGUGGGGCUGUUCCAGAGACUAAGACGUCGGUCGCGGAGAAGUGGGAACUAACAGGAAUAACCAUACCAGUUAAGAAGCCCAAAACACCCAUGAGAUGGAAUUGCACCGUCUGUGAGGUGCAAGCAACCAGUGAGCAGAACUUGCAGCAGCAUUAUGCUGGGCAGAAGCACUUGUUAAAUGUAGCAACACUGGACCAAAGAGCUACGGCAAGUGGUCAGAAGGCGACAACGGCAGCAGAACCUUCCCUUGGUACAGAGCACAAGAAAACCUCCUCAAUAAAAUGGAGUUGCAAUACCUGCCAGGCAACUGGCUCGGGCCAAUCGGGGUUGGAAGCGCACCUCAAAGGCAAAAGACACCAGCAGAACAUCUCAGCCACAUCCACGCCGAAGAACGUCGCGGCGGGGGAAGCAAAAUCGCAUGCCAUCAAUGUGCCAAAGCGUUCAGAGAAGCCACCAUCACCCUGGAGUUGUAGCAUUUGCCAAGCUAUAUGUACCAGCGAAUCGGACUUGAACAGCCACCUGAGGGGCAUAAGACACCACGCAAAGGUUCAGUCCUUGCUUGAAGGCAAGAACAUGGCAAGGAAAGAAAAACUGAAUCCAGAUUCAAGAUGGGCCUGCAGAAUUUGCCAAGCUCACUGUACUUGUGAACCAGACUUGGAAAACCAUCUUGCAGGCAAGAGACACCAACUAAACAUUCAGGUUUUAAGCGCGAAAACCAAGCAAGAGAAAAACAAUGCACCACGAGUGGCCAUGAGCCAAGAACCACCCUCGGAAUGGCAUUGCACAAUGUGCGAGGCCGAAUGUAACUCUAAAUCUCAAUUUGAGGAUCAUUGCAGAAGCAGCAGGCACCAACAGAAUAUAGAGGAGGUACUCGGAAAAGGCAAGACCGUGAAAGCGAGCAGUCGUAAGGCUGCAAAUGAACUACUUUCAGAUUGCUCUAACAGGAAGAAUGCGAACUCAGAAAAGUUGGAGAAACGGCAGAUAGUAUAUUUCUGUGAGCAGUGCAAUUUGCAGUGUAAUAGUGGUACAAUGCUGGCACAUCAUCGUGCUGGGAAGAAGCACCGGGAAAAGCUCGACGAAAAGAAAUAA
rnacentral:rRNA from 1 species